rnacentral:tRNA from 1 species
AGGGCUACAGCUCAAUGGUAGAGCUCUUGCCUGGUAUGCAUGAGACUCUGGGCUUAAUUCUCAGUAUCACUG